rnacentral:rRNA from 1 species
AUUGAACGCUGGCGGCAGGCCUAACACAUGCAAGUCGAGCGAGCGGCGGACGGGUGAGUAAUGUCUGGGAAACUGCCUGAUUGAGGGGGAAAAAUACUGGAAACGGGAGCCAAUACCGCAUACCAUCAGAUGGGCCCAGAUGGGAUGAGCUGGUAGGUGGGGUAACGGCUCACCUAGGCGACGAGCCCUAGCUGGUCUGAGAGGAUGACCAGCAACCCGGGAACUGAGCGACGGGCCAAACUCGUACGGGAGGCAGCGGUGGAGAAUAUUGCACAAGGGGCGCAAGGCUGAUGCAGCCAUGCGGCGAGUGUGAGGAGGGCCUUCGGGUUGUGAAGGACUAUCAGCGUGGAGGCGUUACCCGCAGAAUAAGCACCGGCUAACUCCGUGCCAGCAGCCGCGGUAAUUC